rnacentral:lncRNA from 1 species
AGAGGAGAAGCUGCGAUUAUUAUUUAGCCAGGUUGUAGCUCCAGUUUUAUCUUUUAAGCUUAUGUAUGAUCGUGAAUCGGGUAAACCAAAAGGAUAUGGCUUCUGUGAGUAUAAAGAUCAAGAGACAGCACUUUCAGCCAUGCGUAACUUGAACAGCUAUGAGAUCGGUGGCAGACCACUUCGGGUCGAUAAUGCUUGUACAGAGAAGUCAAGGAUGGAGAUGCAAAGUUUGAUGAUGGGUCCCUGUAGUGAAUUCCAUAUGGCCCAGAUGUCGAGCCAGGAAAGCU